CCUGUCCAAGUCUACAGUAGCAACACUUAUUAAAACAAAUUCUUCUCUAAGAUGCAAUUCCCACUACCAGACCCUCUUCUUUUUCCCUCCACCUAUCUCUCAUUUCUACUCUCCAAGCAGGCCUCUCUCUCUCUCACACCAUACCAGACCCUCUCCUUUCCUUGCCUAUAAGAAGCCUUCCUCUUCUGCUGCUUCAGAAGGCAUCGAGCAAUCCCUUCUCUCUUCAGCAGCAACGCAAGAGUUUGCAGUCUCUUAGUUCUGAAAUACAAGAACACACAAAGUUUGAAGAGCUUGUUGCUUAGCCUGAUCAAGUUGGCAUGUUUAGUGGUUUGGAGGUUCAUUAAGAUUGGAUUAGGAUGAUAGGGGACAUCCAAGAGACCAUAAGACAAGGAGCAGUAAGGUGGUGCUGAAGCAGCUCUAGAGCAUUGAUUUGGUGUAGUCAUGUUGGCAACUCAAUAGCUCGAGGUCCAUAUAGAGUGAAGAAGUUGCACGAGGCACUCAAGGACCACAAGAUGAGAAGCAUGAAAGCAAUGGAUGACAACCCUUUAAGGUGGACUACAUAGGCAUAAGACAUGAAGGAUGACAUGUGAAGGAGCCGAGGGACCAGCUACAUUUGAGAAAUGUAUGACCCAAUUGUAGAUAUCUAAAGGCGAACUCAAGUUACAAUGAUAAGACUCCAACGACUUGAGUGUCGAGUAAUAUAUAUCUCUAGGGACGAGGGUAGAACUCAUCAUAGGGGCACUACAAGAAAUUCAGUAAUUUACUUCACUAAAUACAUUUAGCAACAAAUUAGAGAUCAAAUUGGUUGUUAUUUUCUUUGUCACUAAUUUUUAACGACCGCAUGUAAUAGGUCGGUUGCUAAUUUAGUGACAAUUUUAAUUUGGUUCCUAAAUUUAAAGAUUGAAGAAUAAAGUUCGAUCGCUAAAUUUAUGAAUA